UACAGAGGGGCAAGCGUUAUUCGGAAUUAUUGGGCGUAAAGGGCGCGUAGGCGGCCAUUCAAGUGACGGGUGAAAGCCCUCGGCUUAACCGAGGAACUGCCUGUCAGACUGGAUGGCUUGAGACCGGGAGAGGUGAGUGGAAUUCCCAGUGUAGCGGUGAAAUGCGUAGAUAUUGGGAGGAACACCAGUGGCGAAGGCGGCUCACUGGACCGGAACUGACGCUGAGGCGCGGAAAGCGUGGGGAGCAAACAGG
rnacentral:rRNA from 1 species